AGAGUUUGAUCCUGGCUCAGAUUGAACGCUGGCGGCAGGCCUAACACAUGCAAGUCGAGGUAACAGGAAGAAGCUUGCUUCUUUGCUGACGAGUGGCGGACGGGUGAGUAAUGUCUGGGAAACUGCCUGAUGGAGAGGGAUAACUACUGGAAACGGUAGCUAAUACCGCAUAACGUCGCAAGACCAAAGAGGGGGACCUUCGGGCCUCUUGCCAUCGGAUGUGCCCAGAUGGGAUUAGCUAGUAGGUGGGGUAACGGCUCACCUAGGCGACGAUCCCUAGCUGGUCUGAGAGGAUGACCAGCCACACUGGAACUGAGACACGGUCCAGACUCCUACGGGAGGCAGCAGUGGGGAAUAUUGCACAAUGGGCGCAAGCCUGAUGCAGCCAUGCCGCGUGUAUGAAGAAGGCCUUCGGGUUGUAAAGUACUUUCAGCGGGGAGGAAGGGAGUAAAGUUAAUACCUUUGCUCAUUGACGUUACCCGCAGAAGAAGCACCGGCUAACUCCGUGCCAGCAGCCGCGGUAAUACGGAGGGUGCAAGCGUUAAUCGGAAUUACUGGGCGUAAAGCGCACGCAGGCGGUUUGUUAAGUCAGAUGUGAAAUCCCCGGGCUCAACCUGGGAACUGCAUCUGAUACUGGCAAGCUUGAGUCUCGUAGAGGGGGGUAGAAUUCCAGGUGUAGCGGUGAAAUGCGUAGAGAUCUGGAAGAAUACCGGUGGCGAAGGCGGCCCCCUGGACGAAGACUGACGCUCAGGUGCGAAAGCGUGGGGAGCAAACAGGAUUAGAUACCCUGGUAGUCCACGCCGUAAACGAUGUCGACUUGGAGGUUGUGCCCUUGAGGCGUGGCUUCCGGAGCUAACGCGUUAAGUCGACCGCCUGAGGAGUACGGCCGCAAGGUUAAAACUCAAAUGAAUUGACGGGGGCCCGCACAAGCGGUGGAGCAUGUGGUUUAAUUCGAUGCAACGCGAAGAACCUUACCUGGUCUUGACAUCCACAGAACUUUCCAGAGAUGGAUUGGUGCCUUCGGGAACUGUGAGACAGGUGCUGCAUGGCUGUCGUCAGCUCGUGUUGUGAAAUGUUGGGUUAAGUCCCGCAACGAGCGCAACCCUUAUCCUUUGUUGCCAGCGGUCCGGCCGGGAACUCAAAGGAGACUGCCAGUGAUAAACUGGAGGAAGGUGGGGAUGACGUCAAGUCGUCAUGGCCCUUACGACCAGGGCUACACACGUGCUACAAUGGCGCAUACAAAGAGAAGCGACCUCGCGAGAGCAAGCGGACCUCAUAAAGUGGGUGGUAGUCCGGAUUGGAGUCUGCAACUCGGCUCCAUGAAGUCGGAAUCGCUAGUAAUCGUGGAUCAGAAUGCCACGGUGAAUACGUUCCCGGGCCUUGUACACACCGCCCGUCACACCAUGGGAGUGGGUUGCAAAGGAAGUAGGUAGCUUAACCUUCGGGAGGGCGCUUACCACUUUGUGAUUCAUGACUGGGGGGAAGUCGUAACAAGGUA
rnacentral:rRNA from 1 species